AGUGAAGCUGCUCUCUGUUCUACUAGAGGAUCCACACUGUAAACUAGAGAAACUAUGGCUGUGUGACUGCAGUAUUGGAGAGAAAGGCUUUGCUGUUCUGAUUUCAGCUCUGAGAUCAAACCCCUCACAUCUGACAGAACUGGAUCUGAGCUGUAAUAAACCAGGAGACUCAGGAGUGAGGCUGCUCUCUGCUCUUCUGGAGGAUCCACACUGUAAACUAGAGAAACUAUGGCUGAGGAGUUGCAGUAUUGGAGAAAAAGGCUGUGCUGCUCUGAUUUUAGCUCUGAGAUCAAACUCCCCACACCCGACAGAACUGAAUCUGAGAUGUAAUGAACCAGGAGACUCAGGAGUGAAGCUGCUCUCUGCUCUACUGGAGGAUCCACACUGUAAACUGAAGAAACUACAUAUUUGACAGUGGAAACUCCACAAGCUCCAAACAACUGAAUCAAAACAACUAGUCUUGAACAAGGCUCUCACCUGGACAUUAACCCCCUGGGGUCGAAGUCCACACUGGUGCUGUCUGUCACGUAUUUUCUUGAUGACUGCAAAUAAAAAUAAACAUACUUUGAUCAUUUUUGAUUUAA